UACGGAGGGUGCAAGCAUUAAUCGGAUUUACUGGGUGUAAAGGGCGCGUAGGCGGCCUGCUAAGUCGGAUGUGAAAUCCCUCGGCUCAACCGAGGAACUGCAUCCGAUACUGGCGGGCUUGAAUCCGGGAGAGGGAUGUGGAAUUCCAGGUGUAGCGGUGAAAUGCGUAGAUAUCUGGAGGAACACCGGUGGCGAAGGCGGCAUCCUGAACCGGUAUUGACGCUGAGGCGCGAAAGCUAGGGGAGCAAACGGG
rnacentral:rRNA from 1 species